rnacentral:rRNA from 1 species
UAGGGAAUAUUGGUCAAUGGAGGCAACUCUGAACCAGCCAUGCCGCGUGAACGAUGAAGGCGCUCUGCGUCGUAAAGUUCUUUUAGAUGGGGCGAAAAUGCGGGAUUUAUCCUGUACUGACGGUACCAUCGGAAUAAGCACCGGCUAACUCCGUGCCAGCAGCCGCGGUAAUACGGAGGGUGCGAGCGUUAUCCGGAAUCACUGGGUUUAAAGGGUGCGUAGGCGGGUUUUUAAGUCAGAGGUGAAAUGUAAUCGCUUAACGAUUAACUUGCCUUUGAUACUGGGAAUCUUGAAUGACAUUGAGGUUGGCGGAAUGUGACAUGUAGCGGUGAAAUGCUUAGAUAUGUCAUAGAACACCGAUUGCGAAGGCAGCUGACUGGAUGUUUAUUGACGCUGAGGC